AACACACGUUGAACCUAUAAAUUUGUGAUAUGUUUUAACAACUCCCUAGGUCUGUAGCUUAGUAGGGCUUUGGCGAAGAGGCUGCAUCCAAAGCAAAAGAAAAAGUAAAAGCGAAAGCAAGGAUAAUAAUUACAACCUCCACCAUCCACCCAACAAGGAGAGAUAGAACAGACAUCCACCCCCAAGUUUUCAUG